AUUGGGUGAAGGGUAGGGGAAGCAGUUUGGGAAGAGGAGAAGGGGAGUGUGACACAGCUGUCAACUCAGGUCCCAGAGAAAAGCAAAGUGAUCGCAUGGCUGACUGACAGAGAGUUGGGACUCAUGGCCACCGCCUAGCAUCUCGAGGUAUUGUCGCACUGCCUAUCACUAGCCUCCGGAAAGAUCAAAUUCCAAACCCCGAAGUAUGCCUUCUACAGAAUGUGGAUCGCCUUUGUACCACUGUAAAGUUGAAACAUCGUAAGUCAAACCAUAGAGUCAUUAAAGGAGAGUACCGAUGAUAAGGACUGAAGUCAUGGGUAUGCGUUUGAGAACCGGACUCAUGCAAAAGAAGCAGGAACAUUCAUAGAGUCUCUCUCCAUCGCUUAGGCUAAAGUGCAAUGGCACGAUCUCGGCUCACUGCAACCUCUGCCUCGUGGAUUCAAGGAUUUCAUGCUUCAGUCGCCAGAGUAGCUGGGAUUACAGGCUUCUACCACCAC